GCGCGCCCCACCCGGGCCUGCUGGGACCAUUGGAGCCCCACGACAGCCACGUUCAGGGAUGCCUGUCUUGCACUUUGCUCCAGCGCGCCCGCCGAGAUCAUUCACACAAUGAUGCUUCUUCAAUGUGCCUGCUAAGUCACUUCAGUCGGGUCCAACUCUUUGCAACCCUGUGGACUGUGGCCUGCCAAGCUCCGCUGUGCACGGGAUUCUCCAGAGACCCCUUCAGCCUUGGAGCUCUAACUGCCAAACAAAGGUUCUGAUUGGCACUGAAAUUUCAUUUAUAGAAGCAACAAAUAUUUUGACUUGUAUACGAAGUAAUACUCAAAAUUCUCCAAGCUAGGCUUCAACAGUAUGUGAACCAAGAACU